rnacentral:lncRNA from 1 species
UUUUCUCUGAUACUAGACUCACAGAAUUGCCUGCUGCUGCUGUGGACAAUGGUGACAACAGGGCCAGACCUAGAGAAAGCAGUAACUUUGCAGUCUGAGCCACAGGAAGAUCAACAGACGUGACUUCACUUACCCGAGUGCCCGGCCCAAAGGGAGGCUGGGGAGGCUGGCCGAGGCGAGUCAGAGUGCUUGCACUGAAGGUGGGGACCCAGCACGCCUUGCCCGGGUGGAAAGGCAGUAGGCCUAGGUGGCUCAUGUCAGGCAAGAGCCACCAAGGCAUUCCUGGAAACCAGCUCUCUGCAGAGGACAUGGGCAGUUGCCAUCCCACCCGCCAGAAUGACAGGAAUAAACAGAAACCUGCUGGCUGCAGAAAAGGACUGUUACUGCUGAUCCUGAGGACUUGUUUACACUGGGAUUGUACUUCCUUGAAAAGGAGGGCCGGACCUGCUCCAGCCGAGAGCAGCUGUCACUUCUCUGGCUCAACUUGGCUUCGGGUCUGGCUACUGUGUGUCUAGCAGCCUCUCCAGACUUCCACAGCUGACCGCUUAGGGGUCUUUCUUCCUGCCUCCCAUCAUGGCCAUCUUCAUAUCAGCUUUUCCCAUCUUGAGAGGCUGGAGGCUGUGUGUGUUCCGGCUGGAUCUCAACUUCUGCCGUGCUCAUGAUCCCCCACCCUCUUCUCAGGUACCAGAAAUCAGUGCCCCCCACAGGUAAGGCUACUCCCAUUUCCCAGUUGGAAAACU